GGGCGUGGGCCCCCAGCCCCAGGGUGAGACCAGCAGCGGGGCGGGUGGCGGGUCACGGGGACCCCUCGGGCUGACGGGGCACAUCAGCCACGUGGCGGCCAGCCUUCCGCAGCCCUUCUCUGUGGCAUCGCUGCCCCGGGGCUCCUGUUCUCAGAGUUUUUCAGAUAAGGAUCCUGCUGGCCUCGGUCUUAGCAUCCUGACAAUUACCUUCCUCCCUGAGCUAUUGCAUCCCAAAGCACCUGUUUAACACGGGCGCCACACAAAAGGAGCGCUCACACGGCAGGAUUAGAGCAAGUUCCGUUCACAUUACGCGUUUUUCAAGUCCUCUCUCCUAGUCAGAAGAUACGCUCUUUGAGCAGGAAUCAGAUACAGUAAUCAAAUGUGUUUGCCAGGACAGAAUUACGAGACGGUGAAAACAAUUUUCUGCCCCGUAUCUUCCUUCUUAUGUGUAGCAGUUCCAGUAAGAAUAUACCUUCUGGUUUCUGAAUAAAGUAAACAUUUCAUAAUUCAGAUCAUGCAGGGGUUGACUAUCCCACAAAUCUUUAUGAUGACAUUAAACCGUCUCUUUUAUAGGUUUAAUGGCCUGUUUUUUAUUUCCUUAAUGCUAGCAUAGUGCUAACAUAUGAUUGCAAAUUAAUUUAUGGUCCUCACUUGCAUUGUGUAAUACUUCCAUGUCUUUAUUUUAUGAAUGUAGAAAUUGAUAAGGAACCAACUCGUAGUAGGAAGUUGACAGAGCCGUGCAACUGAAGUGUGUAGACCUGUCCUAGGCCCUGGCUACUGCAAAAGAGCCUCCCCUCUCCUCUCAAGGAGCUUAUAGUUCGGUGUAGGAGACAGAAAUGCAAAAUAAACUCAGUAUAAAGUGACAGCUGCUAGAAUCGAGGUAGGUGCGAAAUGCUGAGAAGCCUAGAGAGAGAGUAACCGAGGAAAGAGGCCGGAAGGAUGGCAGAGAGUUCAGUUCAGCCCACAAUUGCUGGGGUUUUGGGGGCACUUGAAAAGGGAGUGGAAGCAUCUCCUGCUGAAAAAGCAGGGGCGGGGGGGAUGAAUGCUGGAGAGUGUGGACGGCCUAUUAAUGACUGUGGAGCAAACUGAGACUUACUCCAAGCAGAGUGAAUAGCGUCUUUAAAAACAGUGGCGAGCUGAAGGUCAUCUGUGUUCAGGGAGUAUAAGUAGUUUGGCAUGUAAGUUAAGUCUCCCCAUUUCUCUGUGAACAAUCACUACUCUUCCCAAUCCAGUGGCUUGAAGCCGUGGACGGGCUGGGGGAUUCUGUGGAUCUGGCUGCACUGUGCCCACCUGGCUGCAUUCUGCCCAUCUCAGCAGUUCACCUUGGCAUCUGAGAUCCGCUGGCCUGCAGCUGGGAGCUGGCUUGUCUACAGUGAUCACCUAGGAUGACUUGUCCACGGAAAUAACUCUGGCCGCGUAGAGAGGAUGGAUUGGAGGCUUCAGACCUUAGCCUUGUAAACAAAUAUCUGAGAUGGAGCUCUGCGUAGUUACCUAUUUAUUUAUAUCCCACCUCAUUCCAGGAAAGAUAUGAUGCCACAACUCUCCCAUAGUUGCUAUCAAAAAUAUAUGUAUUUAUGCCCUGUCCACGUCUAAAAAGAAUCUGAAGCAGCUCUAAUUGAAUUCAGCCCAGAAACCAUCUUGGAGGUAUGUCGUGGUCUGUCUUAACUGAGCCACCAGCAAAUGAAGCUCCCAGAGCUUCUAGCCAAAGGAUAUUCCUGGAGGUGAAAUAAACAGAGGUGAAUUUGGCUGCUUAAAAACACAUGUAAGUUCUUUAUUUAGAACUCUGAUUCCAUGGCGGCUGAAGAGAAAGAAAGGUACCGCGGGCAGGGUGAGUUCAAAAGAAAUAUUUACCAUGCCAGCCCAUCUUAGGACACACAGCAAUCAUUUCUGCUUAGCAAACACAAAAUAGGCUGGUAAAACUGAUACCCUGCCUGCAGAAUAAAGCUGAAAUCACCAAAAAGGCUCUGCAGAGAUUAAACAAGUAACUGGCAAAGCUAAAGUGGAUCGAAGUCUGUCCUUAACGUUGAGAUAAGAUCUAUUUUGCUCCCAUUCUUAUAUUUGCAUAUGAAAGCAAAGUGGAGCAAGUGAGGGUCAGAGGCACUCGGAUUUUCUAAGAAGGUUCUUCCUGACACUCAAUCAGUUGGGUCUUCAGUAACCAAGAGGGAAAAUUCAUUUCUUAAGUUCCAUGUUAGUCAAUGGAGUAAAUCCUACAGUUUUCAGGAUUAAGAAUCUCGAUCCUACCAUUUUCAUUCAACAUACCUCUGCGUCUACUGAAGACUCACUACGCGGCUCUGUGCUGAAUCCCAU
ensembl:lncRNA